GGGGCUGUAGCUCUGUGGUAGAGCAUCUGCUUUGCAUGCAGGAAGCCCUAGGUUCAAUUCCUGGUAUCUCCA
rnacentral:tRNA from 1 species